rnacentral:tRNA from 1 species
GUAAGUUUGGUGUAAUUUAGGCAUAAAAAAUUUUCUUUUUUUAGGAGGCUCUCUUGUCAAUUUAUU